rnacentral:sRNA from 1 species
UUGGCUGUCGUCAGCUCGUGUCGUGAGAUGUUGGGUUAAGUCCCGUAACGAGCGCAACCCUUGUCCUUAUUUGCCAGCACGUAAUGGUGGGAACUCUAAGGAGACUGCCGGUGACAAACCGGAGGAAGGAGAGGAUGACGUCAAGUCAUCAUGGCCCUUACGGCCUGGGCUACACACGUGCUACAAUGGGGAGUACAGAGGGCCGCGAAGCCGCAAGGUAGAGCAAAUCCCAGAAAACUUCUCGUAGUCCGGAUCGGAGUCUGCAACUCGACUCCGUGAAGUCGGAAUCGCUAGUAAUCGCGAAUCAGCAUGUCGCGGUGAAUACGUUCCCGGGCCUUGUACACACCGCCCGUCAUACCAUGGGAGUGGGCUGCAAAAGAAGUGGCUAGUUUAACCUUCGGGAGAACGGUCACCACUUUGUGGUUCAUGACUGGGGUAAAGUCGUAACAAGGUAGCCGUAGGGGAACCUGCGGCUGGAUCACCUCCUUAACGAUAGCUAUUUUUCGGCAAGUACUCACAACCUAUUGUUUGUUUUCUUAUUUGAUAGAGCGACGUCAGAAGUCAGAGGACUUUUUGCAGGCUGAGUUGUAUGCAUGGGAUUAAGUGGUACCCAAGAAGUCUUCUGUUUUCUGACGCUUGUCGGAACGAUCUGAGCCUUUGUUUAUUCAAUAUAAGUUCAGUCGUCUCAGUUGGGUAACCAGCUGGCUCUUUAAAAAAGUGGAACAGUGAUAAAGUCUGUAGCUGAUUGUGUUUUGUGAUGAGACAUAUUCAGAUACAAACUGAAUUUGAAUUUUAAAUUCAGUUAUAGACAUCCGUAAAUGCGAUUGUGUUCUUAUGACCUUGAGGCGAAUUUCAAACGAUAGCCAAAAGGUUCUUUCCAAAGAACACGUAUCACAUAGAAAGUAGAAUAUUUUGAAUGUUGAUGUCCUCGAUUUUUGAGGCCAUAGAUAUUUAGAGUUCGAAAGAUUCAAGCGUAAUAUCCGGUGACUAUACGAACACACUUGUAGAUGACUAUUUUAUCAGUUCUUUUAAGGACUGUUUGUUGUAGAUAGAAGUCUGUUUUAUUUAGCAUAAAAAGAGUGUACUCACGUAUAUGAUCAAGCAAAUAAGCGCAUACGGUGGAUGCCUAGGCAAUUGGAGGCGAUGAAGGACGUGGCAAUCUGCGAUAAGCUUGGGAGAGCUGAUACAAGCACUAUAUCCCGAGAUUUCCGAAUGGGGAAACCCGG